UUUUUUUUUUUUUUUUUUUUUUUUUUUUUUUUUUUUUUUUUUUCUUC
rnacentral:ribozyme from 1 species